rnacentral:tRNA from 1 species
GGGUGUAGCUCAGUGGCAGAGCAUUUCCUCGCAUGCAUGCAGCCCUGGGUUCAAUCCCCAGCACUGCCA